AGUUCACUGCACCCACUGCGAGCCAUUGUCCAGCGUACCAACCGCUUCCGCUCAAGGUGUCCGGGAGGCGUCGAACGGACUUGGAAGCUCCUGUACUUGUAGAGACCGGCAGGCGUUGACCAGCUGCCGUACAAUAUCGGACCCUGCUGUGCCCACCCUGUCGGCGUAAUGGAUUUUCGCCUGACGGAACCUCGCCUGAGCCCCAAGCAGCAGGCGCUGCUACUGCGAGUCGGGCUCGUCCUGCUUGCGGCGGCGGUGAUUCUGACGACCGUGGUGCUCGUGCUGACGAGGAGCCACCGCGUGAUGCCUCUCGACCUGAAAGCCGUAGCGAAGAAGUCGCCGCAUCGGGCCGCGCAACUGUGCAACACUACCUCCUGUCGCCUGGCGGCGUCG